CCUACGGGCGGCAGCAGUAGGGAAUAUUGCUCAAUGGGGGAAACCCUGAAGCAGCAACGCCGCGUGGAGGAUGAAGGUUUUAGGAUUGUAAACUCCUUUUGUGAGAGAAGAUAAUGACGGUAUCUCACGAAUAAGCACCGGCUAACUACGUGCCAGCAGCCGUGGUAAUACGGAGGGUGCAAGCGUUACUCGGAAUCACUGGGCGUAAAGGGUGUGCAGGCGGGUUUGUAAGUCAGAUGUGAAAUCCUGUAGGUUAACUACAGAACUGCAUUUGAAACUUUGAGACUUGAGUGUGGGAGAGGUAGGUGGAAUUCUUGGUGUAGGGGUAAAAUCCGUAGAUAUCAAGAGGAAUACUCAUUGCGAAGGCGACCUACUGGAACAUUACUGACGCUCAUGCACGAAAGCGUGGGGAGCAAACAGGAUUAGAUACCCUAGUAGUC
rnacentral:rRNA from 1 species